rnacentral:lncRNA from 1 species
UUUUGAAAUACUUAAAUAUUUGACCCAAAAUUACUCACGAUAAAUUUUACACGUAAACAAAAUAGAUCAUUUUAUGCAAAUAAGUGAGUCACGCGAUUCACUUCAACUUUUUGAGACCUUAGUGUGACGAUAGAGCUUGACAUGGACUAUUUUAUUUGCUAAAUGACUAACAUUAGAUUUAGCUCAUAUGAAAAUAUAAUUAAAAUCCUGGGUGAUGCAAAUACGGCUUCCAGCAUGGGUUUCUGCUUGUUUUGUUCUUUUUGUAGGUACGCAGUUUCUUCCUUAAGCACGGAGACAGCAUCGGACAACAAAGCUUGGCGUGUACCCUCUGCCAUGGCACAGGAACGUCUCCCUAAUACCACCAUUAUGUAUGCUGUAAAUUUAAGUAGGCACUUCAAGCGGCCUGGUCCUCCUAUGUGUAAUAUACCUAAUUGUUGAAACUGGAAAAAUUGAAUUGCAUUGAAAUGAACGAUAGAAUAAAUAGAUUCAAGUACUGACUUACCCACUAACCCACAAUGACAUAACUGAACCCAUGACUCAACAUCUGCUCAACCAACAUGGCCCAUAAUUUAAUAACAGACUCUUGACUAAUUCAAAUAACAUAACUCACAAAAUAUAAGGAUAAUCUACAACCCAUACGCCCAAUAUCCCAAAAGCCCAUUUGUUGUGACCCGACCCUUUGGGUUUCAUAACAUUUAAAAUAUGAGAAUGAUAUAUUUGAAAUGUAUACGCAAAACGGCGUGCAAGCUGUGGAAAAUAAUCACUUGUUCGAGUCCCAAAUCUUUGCAGCCUUCCGUUUUUUACGUGUGCCUUUAAUUUGUGUCAGUCAAUGUUCCUAACGUUUCAGAAAUAUGCAUCUGGAGUCCUGACCGUUAGUUGACCAACAAAAUUGAUUUUUGACCAAUUUUGACUAAAUUGUAAGGGUAAAAUGGUCACUUUGCAAUUGCCACAUUAAAUAAAUAAACAAAAAAAAAAGAAAAUUGCAGCAUUUUAUCCUUAAAAUAAGGUAAAAUUAAAUUUCAAAAAAAAAAUAAAAUAAAAGAAAAUAAAUUUCAUCUCUUUCACACCCCAACCCACUAGCCCUGCCACCAUCGUCGCCAUCUCAAACUAUCGAAUAAACGGAAGCACUGGACUACCCAAAAAAUUUUGCAGAAUCACAACCAUAUCAGAGAAACAAAAUCAAACAAAAAACACAAGCACAAUUAUGGGAAUCGAACCACUAGAAAUUUUUGCACAAUCAAACCGACAACCACCGAGAAUUUUUGCACCAGAAAUCAAACCCAUAAAUCUCGACACUUUGUGCUUCGUAGAAAACAAAUCCCAAAAAUGAAACAGCAUAUCAUCUUGCUGGUUGCUUGUGAACUCAUAAAUAAAAUCCCAUAAAUCUCGACACUUUGAUUUCAUAGAUUUGAAUGGGGAUUGUGUCUACUUAUGAAUUGAUUUUGUGAAGAUGAGAAGUGCCAUGUGUUCUGUAGAAUCCCAAUUUGAUUUUGGGUAGGUCGUGGCGGUCG